rnacentral:rRNA from 1 species
CAGUUCGGCUCAUCUCUCCUGUAAUACCUUUUUCUGUCUUGGAAAGCUAAGUAGGAUUAGGUCAGGUUGGUAUUUGAAUGAGAGAACGCCAAGAAAUCCUAGAGUUGUAGGCUGGAUUGG